GAUGAACGCUGGCGGCGUGCCUAAUACAUGCAAGUCGAGCGAACAGACGAGGAGCUUGCUCCUCUGACGUUAGCGGCGGACGGGUGAGUAACACGUGGAUAACCUACCUAUAAGACUGGGUAAACUUCGGGAAACCGGAGCUAAUACCGGAUAAUAUAUUGAACCGCAUGGUUCAAUAGUGAAAGACGGUUUUGCUGUCAUUUAUAGAUGGAUCCGCGCCGCAUUAGCUAGUUGGCAAGGUAACGGCUUACCAAGGGAACGAUGCGUAGCCGACCUGAGUGGGUGAUCGGCCACACUGGAACUGAUACACGGUCCAGACUCCUACGGGAGGCAGCAGUAGGGAAUCUUCCGCAAUGGGCGAAAGCUUGACGGAGCAACGCCGCGUGAGUGAUGAAGGUCUUCUGAUCUUAAAACUCUGUUAUUAGGGAAGAACAAAUGUGUAAUUAACUAUGCACGUCUUGACGGUACCUAAUCAGAAGGCCACGGCUAACUACGUG
rnacentral:rRNA from 1 species